rnacentral:SRP_RNA from 1 species
CUCCGGCCUCCGUGCAAUCUCGUACGCAUGAACCCCGCCAGGACCGGAAGGUAGCAACGGUAGUGCUGUUCAGAUGUGCCGCGGCAGUCACCGGAGCCU